CUCUCUCUCUCUCUAGUUGUGUGUGUUUAGUGGUCUCUCUCUAGUUGUGUGUGUGUUUAGUGGUCUCUCUCUCUCUCUCUCUAGUUGUGUGUGUUUAGUGGUCUCUCUCUCUCUAGUUGUGUGUGUUUAGUGUGGUCUCUCUCUCUAGUUGUGUGUGUUUAGUGGUCUCUCUCUCUCUAGUUGUGUGUGUUUAGUGGUCUCUCUCUCUAGUUGUGUGUGUUUAGUGGUCUCUCUCUCUAGUUGUGUGUGUUUAGUGGUCUCUCUCUCUAGUUGUGUGUGUUUAGUGGUCUCUCUCUAGUUGUGUGUGUUUAGUGGUCUCUCUCUAGUUGUGUGUUUAGUGGUCUCUCUCUCUCUAGUUGUGUGUGUUUAGUGGUCUCUCUCUCUCUCUAGUUGUGUGUGUUUAGUGGUCUCUCUCUCUCUCUAGUUGUGUGUGUUUAGUGGUCUCUCUCUCUCUCUAGUUGUGUGUGUUUAGUGGUCUCUCUCUCUCUAGUUGUGUGUGUUUAGUGGUCUCUCUCUCUCUCUAGUUGUGUGUGUUUAGUGGUCUCUCUCUCUAGUUGUGUGUGUUUAGUGGUCUCUCUCUCUCUAGUUGUGUGUGUUUAGUGGUCUCUCUCUCUCUCUAGUUGUGUGUGUUUAGUGUGGUCUCUCUCUCUAGUUGUGUGUGUUUAGUGGUCUCUCUCUCUCUAGUUGUGUGUGUUUAGUGGUCUCUCUCUCUCUAGUUGUGUGUGUUUAGUGGUCUCUCUCUAGUUGUGUGUGUUUAGUGGUUUCUCCA